GACGAACGCUGGCGGCGUGCCUAACACAUGCAAGUCGAGCGGAGACAGUGAGUAGCUUGCUAUGAACUGUUUUAGCGGCGGACGGGUGAGUAACGCGUGAGCAACCUUUCCCAGACAGGGGAAUAACACACCGAAAGGUGUACUAAUACCGCAUAAGACCACGGGAUCACAUGAUUCUGAGGUAAAAGAUUUAUCGGUUUGGGGUGGGCUCGCGUCCGAUUAGGUAGUUGGUGAGGUAACGGCCCACCAAGCCGACGAUCGGUAGCCGACCUGAGAGGGUGAUCGGCCACAUUGGGACUGAGACACGGCCCAAACUCCUACGGGAGGCAGCAGUGGGGAAUAUUGGGCAAUGGGGGGAACCCUGACCCAGCAACGCCGCGUGGAGGAAGAAGGUUUUCGGAUCGUAAACUCCUGUCCUUGGAGACGAGUAGAAGACGGUAUCCAAGGAGGAAGCCCCGGCUAACUACGUGCCAGCAGCCGCGGU
rnacentral:rRNA from 1 species